UGGAAGUAAAAGUCGUAACAAGGUCUCCGUUGGUGAACCAGCGGAGGGAUCAUUACCGAGUUUACAACUCCCAAACCCCUGUGAACAUACCACUUGUGCCUCGGCGGAUCAGCCCGCUCCCGGUAAAACGGGACGGCCCGCCAGAGGACCCCUAAACUCUGUUUCUAUAUGUAACUUCUGAGUAAAACCAUAAAUAAAUCAAAACUUUCAACAACGGAUCUCUUGGUUCUGGCAUCGAUGAAGAACGCAGCAAAAUGCGAUAAGUAAUGUGAAUUGCAGAAUUCAGUGAAUCAUCGAAUCUUUGAACGCACAUUGCGCCCGCCAGUAUUCUGGCGGGCAUGCCUGUUCGAGCGUCAUUUCAACCCUCAAGCACAGCUUGGUGUUGGGACUCGCGUUAAUUCGCGUUCCCCAAAUUGAUUGGCGGUCACGUCGAGCUUCCAUAGCGUAGUAGUAAAACCCUCGUUACUGGUAAUCGUUGCGGCCAAGCCGUUAAACCCCAACUUCUGAAUGGGACCUCGGAUCAGGAGGAACCCGUGUAA
rnacentral:rRNA from 1 species